rnacentral:rRNA from 1 species
AGGGGACCUUCGGGCCUUUCGCUAAUAGAUGAGCCUGCGUUGGAUUAGCUAGUUGGUGGGGUAAAGGCCUACCAAGGCGACGAUCCAUAGCUGGUCUGAGAGGACGAUCAGCCACACUGGGACUGAGACACGGCCCAGACUCCUACGGGAGGCAGCAGUGGGGAAUAUUGGACAAUGGGCGCAAGCCUGAUCCAGCAAUACCGCGUGUGUGAAGAAGGCCCUAGGGUUGUAAAGCACUUUCAAUUGGGAGGAAAACCCACCGGCCAAUACCCGGUGGCUUGACAUUACCUCUAGAAGAAGCACCGGCUAACUCCGUGCCAGCAGCCGCGGUAAUACGGAGGGUGCGAGCGUUAAUCGGAAUUACUGGGCGUAAAGCGUGCGUAGGCGGCCCGUUAAGUCAGAUGUGAAAGCCCCGGGCUCAACCUGGGAACUGCAUUUGAAACUGGCGGGCUAGAGUUUGGUAGAGGGGAGCGGAAUUUCAGGUGUAGCGGUGAAAUGCGUAGAUAUCUGAAGGAACACCAGUGGCGAA